rnacentral:lncRNA from 1 species
UAUAUUUAAUGAUAUUGACAGCUAUUCAAUUUUGACCUAUUUGACGCUAUUGACCGUUUUCAAAUUUUCAGGAUGGAUACUCACAUUAUGGCAAAGACGGACAAAAAUGUUUAAGGUCCACAUUUUUAAAGUCAGCCUUUGAAGACCCUUAUUGGUUUGGGAUAUUCGCUUCGAUAUUAUUUGCCAUAUGGGCAAUAACUGCCCUACUGACAAUAAGCAAGA